rnacentral:rRNA from 1 species
UACGAAGGGGGCGAGCGUUGUUCGGAAUUACUGGGCGUAAAGGGCGCGUAGGCGGGAAGCUAAGUCCGCUGUCAAAGCCCGGGGCUUAACCCCGGAAGGUCGGUGGAGACUGGUUUUCUUGAAGCUGCCAGGGGGAGAUGGAAUUACCGGUGUAGCGGUGAAAUGCGUAGAUAUCGGUAGGAACACCAGUGGCGAAGGCGGUCUCCUGGAGCAGACUUGACGCUGAGGCGCGAAAGCUGGGGGGAGCGAACGGG